rnacentral:rRNA from 1 species
AACGAACGCUGGCGGCAUGCCUAACACAUGCAAGUCGAACGAGACCUUCGGGUCUAGUGGCGCACGGGUGCGUAACGCGUGGGAACCUGCCCUUAGGUUCGGAAUAACUCCCCGAAAGGGGUGCUAAUACCGGAUAAUGUCUUCGGACCAAAGAUUUAUCGCCUUUGGAUGGGCCCGCGUUGGAUUAGCUAGUUGGUAGGGUAAAAGCCUACCAAGGCGACGAUCCAUAGCUGGUCUGAGAGGAUGAUCAGCCACACUGGGACUGAGACACGGCCCAGACUCCGAGGGGAGGAAGCGGGGGGGAAUAUGGGAAAGGGGGCGAAGGCGUGACCCAGCAAUGCCGGGGGAGUAAUGAGGCCUUUGGGGUUGAAAACCUUUUUACCCCGGGAGGAAAAGGACAGUCCGGGAAAAAAAAGCCCCGGCAACCCCCGUC